rnacentral:misc_RNA from 1 species
GAUGAAGAACGCAGCGAAAUGCGAUACGUAAUGUGAAUUGCAGAUUUCAGUGAAUCAUCGAAUCUUUGAACGCACAUUGCGCCCGCUAGUAUUCUGGCGGGCAUGCCUGUUCGAGCGUCAUUUCAACCAUCAAGCCCUAGGCUUGCGUUGGAGCCCUGCGGCUGCCGCAGGCUCCCAAAUCCAGUGGCGGGCUCGUCGUCGUACCGAGUGCAGUAAACAUCCUCGCUCAGGGAACGUGACGGGUUCUUGCCGUGAAACCCCCCACAUAUCAAGGUUGACCUCGGAUCAGGUAGGAAUACCCGCUGAACUUAAGCAUAUCAAUGCGGAGGA